rnacentral:rRNA from 1 species
GGAAAGAGCUUGCUCUUUUCAGAAUUGAGUGGCAAACGGGUGAGUAACACGUAAACAACCUGCCUUCAGGAUGGGGACAACAGACGGAAACGACUGCUAAUACCGAAUAAGUUCCAAGAGCCGCAUGGCCCAUGGAAGAAAAGGUGGCCUCUACCUGUAAGCUAUCGCCUGAAGAGGGGUUUGCGUCUGAUUAGCUGGUUGGAGGGGUAACGGCCCACCAAGGCGACGAUCAGUAGCCGGUCUGAGAGGAUGAACGGCCACACUGGAACUGAGACACGGUCCAGACUCCUACGGGAGGCAGCAGUGGGGAAUCUUCCGCAAUGGGCGAAAGCCUGACGGAGCAACGCCGCGUGAGUGAUGACGGCCUUCGGGUUGUAAAACUCUGUGAUCCGGGACGAAAAGGCAGAGUGCGAAGAACAAACUGCAUUGACGGUACCGGAAAAGCAAGCCACGGCUAACUACGUGCCAGCAGCCGCGGUAAUACGUAGGUGGCAAGCGUUGUCCGGAAUUAUUGGGCGUAAAGCGCGCGCAGGCGGCUUCCCAAGUCCCUCUUAAAAGUGCGGGGCUUAACCCCGUGAUGGGAAGGAAACUGGGAAGCUGGAGUAUCGGAGAGGAAAGUGGAAUUCCUAGUGUAGCGGUGAAAUGCGUAGAGAUUAGGAAGACACCGGUGGCGAAGCGACUUUCUGGACGAAAACUGACGCUGAGGCGCGAAA